rnacentral:rRNA from 1 species
UACGUAGGGUGCAAGCGUUGUCCGGAAUUAUUGGGCGUAAAGAGCUCGUAGGCGGUCUGUCGCGUCGGCUGUGAAAACUCGGGGCUCAACCCCGAGCCUGCAGUCGAUACGGGCAGACUAGAGUGCUGUAGGGGAGACUGGAAUUCCUGGUGUAGCGGUGAAAUGCGCAGAUAUCAGGAGGAACACCAAUUGCGAAGGCAGCUCGCUGGGACGUUACUGACGCUGAGACGCGAAAGCGUGGGGGAGCAAACAGG